rnacentral:tRNA from 1 species
GGCCCUGUGGCGCAACGGAUAACGCGUCCGACUACGGAUCAGAAGAUUCCAGGUUCGAAUCCUGGCAGGGUCG